rnacentral:tRNA from 1 species
GCCGGGGUGGUGGAAUUGGCAGACACGCUAGCUUGAGGGGCUAGUGGGAGUUUUUCCUGUGCGGGUUCAAAUCCCGCUCCCGGCA